GACGAACGCUGGCGGCGUGCUUAACACAUGCAAGUCGAACGGAAAGGCCCUGCUUUUGUGGGGUGCUCGAGUGGCGAACGGGUGAGUAACACGUGAGUAACCUGCCCUUGACUUUGGGAUAACUUCAGGAAACUGGGGCUAAUACCGGAUAGGAGCUCCUGCUGCAUGGUGGGGGUUGGAAAGUUUCGGCGGUUGGGGAUGGACUCGCGGCUUAUCAGCUUGUUGGUGGGGUAGUGGCUUACCAAGGCUUUGACGGGUAGCCGGCCUGCGAGGGUGACCGGCCACAUUGGGACUGAGGUACUGCCCAGACUCCUACGGGGGGCAGCAGUGGGGAAUAUUGCACAAUGGGCGGAAGCCUGAUGCAGCAACGCCGCGUGCGUGAUGACGGCCUUCGGGUUGUAAACCGCUUUCGCCUGUGACGAAGCGUGAUUGACGGUAAUUGGUAAAGAAGCACCGGCUAACUACGUG
rnacentral:rRNA from 1 species